GUUUAGCAGACCCGCAGAGCUGGCUCGCCCGGUGGAGAGAAGGCAGCGACUCUCGCCUGGAUUCAGACACCCCAAUUGCUUCAGCUAGCGGAGCCCAAAUGCACAGGAAACUGUUCAAGGGAUCGGUCCGGACCAGUCUGAAGUUGCACCUGACUGGAGCGUAGAGUGACUGAAAGCACUGAAAUAGUGUGCUGAUCUCUGAGGUUGCAUCCAUCUAGAUGUUCAUUUAAGAUGGCAUUAAAGUAUGGCAUCUCUGAUCAACAUCCUCGUGUCCUAGUGACUGUCACUGGAACGCAGUUCCACUGCACUGGCAUUUGUUUCCAUUCUGGACAAGUCGACUGCAACUUAUGGCGACCCUAUGAAUCAGCGACCUCCAAGAGCAUCUGUCAUGAACCACCCUGUUC